rnacentral:lncRNA from 1 species
GUCUGUCAGCACGGAACCUCCGUUUAUUGCAGGACCAGUAGGACCUGGCACUUGAUGCAGGACUUGACACUUGGAUGCAGAAAAUCAAGUAUGUACUUUGAGUACCUUAGCAACUGCAUCUCUGGUCCUUCCUCGGCUGGCUUGGGGCCAGGGAUGGUUAAAAACUCCCUGACUGACUAAGCACAGAGAGAAGUCUGAGGGCCAGGUGUCCUUCCACACCAUCUUGCUAUCAAUUUAUUUGCCCCAUAGAUGAUGUGAUAUGUGCAUAUGAUGUUAUAUAUAUAUAUAUAUAUAUAUAUAUAUAUACACAUUGCAUGAUAUGUACAUAUGCACAGUUGUUGUCUCUCAUAUAUGAUGUGAUAUGUGUCUACGAUGUGUUAUGUAUACAUAUACACUGCAUGCUAUGUACAUAUGCACAGUUAUUGUUUCUCUUAUACAUGAUGUGUUUCUACCUCUUUACCCCUCUGGAUUGUGUCGAAGAAAACGCUACACAUACUUGUUUUCUAGUAACUUUUCAAAGCUGCUUGAUGAUGGUACAUAACUUUAAUCCCAGGUCUCCAGAGGCAGAGGCAGAUGAAUCUCUUUGAAGCCAGCCUGGUCUACAGAGUGAGUUCCAAGACAGCCAGAGCUAUGCAGAGAAACCAUGUCUCAAAAACAAAAUCACAAACAAACAAACAAACGAACAAGAACUUUUCCUCGCCCUCACCAAAUGGACUCAGGGAACAUAAAAGCAGACAUUUUGAAGUAUGCUGGCAUUUAGUUCUGCGAGCUCACAGUGUUGCACAGCUGUCAGAUAUGAAGGGAGCUGGGUAGGGUAGGUUUCUAUGCACAGCCCUUUCCUCAAACAACAAAACCCCUCAAGCUUUUUGUCAGUGACAACAAAGCCAAAUAUUGACCCUGGACAGCAGUAAAAAUGUCACUAAUUGGUUGUGACACUUGCUGCUUUCAAUAGACGACCCCCACUCUUCUCUCACUCCAUGGUACUCAUGAGCAGUAUCUCAGUGCUGGCCAGGGAAGGGAAUCCUGUGUGUGUGACUCUCUGCUGACCACAGGUCCACCUGUCACUGUGUGUUCUUAGGUCCCUUGAGACUCAAAUGUAUCUCAACCUGUGUAGAGGGCCGCAAUAACAUUCGCCACCGCUAGAUGGCGCUGGCUUCCACUGCGCCCCACGUGGAAGGCCAGGAUAGCCUCCGCCAUUACAAGAUGGCGCCAGCCUUUGCUGCGCCAGCCGACUCCCUUUCAGGAAGUUAACUGUGCGCAUGUGCAAGAGUGCCUUCGUGCCAGGUCUUUGCCCACUCUGGGGCGUGCUUGAUGAGAUCAUGGGUAAACAACCAAUCAAGCGUGGACACGCCACAUUAGGGUGUAUACAAGCAGCGCCAUUCUGGGGCUCGCUCUCUCCUCUUCAAGAUGCAAUAAACGCUUUGCUGCAGAAGGAUCCUGGUGUCCGCGCGUCGUUCUUGCUGGCGAGACUUUGGGCGCUCGACAAACCUGGA